CCCCCCCCUCUUUUUUUUUAUACCUCACACUCCCCACCCCCACUCUAAGACCCUGCUGCAAGGCACAGCAUGCAACCCGGAACAAGCUGAUUUUGGACACAGAGAUGUAUUUUGGACACAGAGUUCAUAAAGAGAAUAUGGAUCUUAUGGGUGUUAGCAUCUCAGAACAAAGGGAGACACUGAUUGCUUAAAAACAGUAAUGGAUAAGGAAAGAGAAGUCAUUUCUAGAAACCCAGAACAAAAGGAAUUCAAAUGUGAAAGCUACAAAGAGGGCAAAAAUUUACCAAAGGAUCAGUUUUGAAAGAGGUCAGCUCUUCACAUCAUUUAGUCUUACAGAAUUAUCGAUGUCUUGCCUGGUGUUCUGAAUGCACAUAAGCCAUUUUUCUUUUCACUGGGACUGCUGAGCUAUUGUCUUGCUUUCAGCCCUCCUCCCCAUACAGAGUAGAUCGCUCCAUGAAGAUACAAAUCUAAUCCACAUUCUUGCAGUGGACUCCGAAGCAUGCACAAUGUCAUUUUAUUCCUGAUGCAGUCUAUGAUAACCAUCAGGGCUCUAUUAAAAUUACUUUGUAAGAAAAUGGGCACCUCUGCUGUAACAUUACAUGAGAUAAGACGUCUUGAAGAGAAAGAAGAAAAAGAGGAAUCUGUCUUGGCCAUGCUGGGCAUCAUUGGUACUGUGCUCAAUCUGUUUGUGAUUGUGUUUGUGUACAUAUACACCACCUUCUGAAGCAGAGGCACUCUUACAGGACCAGCUGGGGAAAAAAAUAUCACAGCCUAUACUAGACAAGAACGAUUUCAAAGAAGCAGUGAUUUAGACUGUUGAACAGCCAGGCUUCCCAGUGAGGCUGCAGCAAGAAUCAUGGGAAUAUCAAUUAAACACCGGUGGAAACCCCUGGUAAUGACACUGAGGAGAAGCUGUUAACAACUAAAUCAAACUACAAAAUGAAAAAAAAAAUACUUCUGCCCCAUGGAGUAACCAGAUAAUUACGACAUACUCUUGGGUGGUGAAAAAUGGAAGGAUAUAAGACCGAAUGAAGAUAAAUAACCUCUCUCUCUCUCUCAUUAUAUAUAUAUAUAUAUAUAUAUAUAUAUAUAUUGUUAUCCUUGGAACAUUACCUUCGCCUUCUUUUGUGCCUGGAAGGGAAAACAAACAUGCCAAUGGAAUAUUUUGGAAUAUACA